rnacentral:rRNA from 1 species
UGAGGGAUAUUGGGGCAAUGGGGGAAAGCCCAUGACCCACGCGACGCCGCGUGAGGGAAGACGGUCUUCGGAUUGUAAACUCCUGUCUUUGGGGACGAUAAUGACGGUACCCAAGGAGGAAGCCACGGCUAACUACGUGCCAGCAGCCGCGGUAAAACGUAGGUGGCAAGCGUUGUCCGGAAUUACUGGGUGUAAAGGGAGCGCAGGCGGAGCGGCAAGUUGGAGGUGAAACCCAUGGGCUCAACCCAUGAACUGCCUUCAAAACUGUCGGUCUUGAGUGGUGUAGAGGUAAGCGGAAUUCCCGGUGUAGCGGUGGAAUGCGUAGAUAUCGGGAGGAACACCAGUGGCGAAGGCGGCUUACUGGGCACUAACUGACGCUGAGGCUCGAAAGCAUGGGUAGCAAACAGGAUUAGAUACCC